GUGAGGAAUUUUCCGCAAUGGGCGAAAGCCUGACGGAGCAAUGCCGCGUGAAGGAUGAAGGCCUAUGGGUUGUAAACUUCUUUUCUCAGAAAAGAAUUAUGACGGUAUCUGAGGAAUAAGCAUCGGCUAACUCUGUGCCAGCAGCCGCGGUAAGACAGAGGAUGCAAGCGUUAUCCGGAAUGAUUGGGCGUAAAGCGUCUGUAGGUUGUUUAAAAAGUAUUCUGUCAAAGAUUAGGGCUUAACCCUAGAUAGGCAGAAUAAACUUUUAAGCUAGAGUUUGGUAGAGGCAGAGGGAAUUCCCGGUGGAGCGGUGAAAUGCGUAGAUAUCGAGAGGAACACCAAAGGCGAAGGCACUCUGCUGGGCCAAUACUAACACUGAGAGACGAAAGCGAGGGGAGCAAAUGGGAUUAGAAACCCCGGUAGUCC
rnacentral:rRNA from 1 species